AUGAGCACGAAAGAUCUUCGUAUCAUUGUCGCGCUAGUAUGGUGGGAGUUGUGGAAGCAUAGGAAUGCAAUUAUCUUCGACGGAGCGCGGCCUUCAAUCGAGUCUCUACUAGGAAGAGUGAGGCAAGAGGGCCAGGUGUGGGCAUCUGCCGGGCUAAUUAAAGGGAAAAUGUAG
rnacentral:rRNA from 1 species